rnacentral:rRNA from 1 species
AUUGAACGCUGGCGGCAUGCCUUACACAUGCAAGUCGAACGGUAGAGGGGGCAGCCCCUUGAGAGUGGCGAACGGGUGAGUAAUGCAUCGGAACGUGCCCAGUUGUGGGGGAUAAAACUUCGAAAGAAGUGCUAAUACCGCAUACGACCUGAGGGGGAAAGGGGGGGAUCGCAAGACCUCUCGCAAUUGGAGCGGCCGAUGUCAGAUGAGGUAGUUGGUGGGGUAAAGGCCUACCAAGCCGACGAUCUGUAGCUGGUCUGAGAGGACGACCAGCCACACUGGGACUGAGACACGGCCCAGACUCCUACGGGAGGCAGCAGUGGGGAAUUUUGGACAAUGGACGCAAGUCUGAUCCAGCCAUGCCGCGUGCAGGAAGAAGGCCUUCGGGUUGUAAACUGCUUUUGUCAGGGAAGAAAUCCUCUGGGCUAAUAUCCUGGGGGGAUGACGGUACCUGAAGAAUAAGCACCGGCUAACUACGUGCCAGCCGCCGCGGUAAAAC